GGAGAGGAGAGGAGAGUAAAGGAGAGGAAAAAAGAAAGAGAAUACAGAUAUUAAUCAAAUAAUUAUAAUAAUGGAUUUAUAAUUAAGGGCUGAGACAAGUAUUCUGAAGAAAGGGAACAUGGUUUCAGGAGACCACAUACCAUAAAGACUCCAAAUGGGAAGGGUAAGGAAGGAUUCGUAAGGAAAUUACACUUGAACUAAGAUGAGGAACUGAAUAGCAUGUCGGUGAGGGAGGGGGAUGAAAAUAGAGGGAGUGACACUGGGGGUGUAUUUAUGAAAGAGGGAACCUUGGUUUCUUUGCUCAUGUUGAGGCCCACCUAGAGAAUCUGGACCUAGAGCCAAACUCCUGAGUCUAUUGAAUGAAACAAAAUUUUUUGAUCCGGAUCUGACUAUUCAGGCAUCCCCAGAACCAAAAGGACCUCGUGAGCAAGUUAAUUGUCAAGGCAGAACUGGAGGCUUAGCUCACUCUUCCUCCUCUUAGCUUAUCAAGUAGAAGGCUUGAUAAGGAAAGGUGGCUCAUGUUAGAAGCAAAAAUAAAGAUAUAAAAAAUUCCUAGGUUUUCUUAUUCACAGUUGUUUUCAUUUCCUUCUAUUACCCCCAUGCUAUCUGGUGAAACUUGGCCCAGAACUCUGGUGAACUUGGAGACCUAUCCUUCCGAGCUACAAAUGAAGACUUAGGAGUGUUCAUCAAAUAAGGAGUUGCAAGAAGAAUGCAGAAACCAGAUUUAUUGUAUACAUGGAAAA